UACAGAGGGGGCAAGCGUUGUUCGGAAUUACUGGGCGUAAAGGGCGCGUAGGCGGCCUUCUAAGUCGAACGUGAAAUCCCCGGGCUCAACCCGGGAACUGCGUCCGAUACUGGAAGGCUUGAAUCCGGGAGAGGGAUGUGGAAUUCCAGGUGUAGCGGUGAAAUGCGUAGAUAUCUGGAGGAACACCGGUGGCGAAGGCGACAUCCUGGACCGGUAUUGACGCGUGAGGCGCGAAAG
rnacentral:rRNA from 1 species